GACGAACCGUGCAAACGUUGUUCGGAUUCACUGGGCUUAAAGGGCGCGUAGGCGGGUGGUCAAGUCAGAGGUGAAAUCUUUCGGCUCAACCGGAAAAGUGCCCCUGAUACUGGCCAUCUCGAGGGAGGUAGGGGCAUGUGGAACUUCCGGUGGAGCGGUGAAAUGCGUUGAGAUCGGAAGGAACGCCCGUGGCGAAAGCGAGGCCCUGGACCCUUACUGACGCUGAGACGCGAAAGCCAGGGGAGCGAACGGG
rnacentral:rRNA from 1 species